AAAAGAUGUGUGUGAAAUAUAAAAACAUAGCUAACUUACAGCUUCACUGUUGUAUGCCUGUCCACAUAUAAUAAAAGCAUUACACAUGAAGAACGCAGCAGUCAGUGCGUUGCAGGUUUGAUGCAGUUAUUGCAAGCAAAGGUUAUACAACCAAAUGGUAUAUGUUGUUUAUCUUAAAUUACUUUAAGACAAUGCUAUGUCUAGGUAUUUUACACAUCUACAUGUAGCUUAAUACCAAGAAAUAAAAGUUGAAAUUCUGAACUCUUGUCUCAUAUUUCUCUUUUGAUCUUAAACCUAAAUGUCCAGUAGUUUCGGAGGGUGAGUGACAACAGGGAAGGUCAAAAAGUACCUGUCUGUUUUGAACUUGGGCAGGUGAUCCAUAUGCAAAAUUAAGGGAACUAAACAAAUUAACUUCCUGUUUUGUGUCUCGAUCUAAGGUUGAACCAACAGCAGUAAAAAGUUUACAGCUCUAAUGCAGAAGACGUAACACAGAACUCUCUCCACCACCUUUCACAGUUUAAUAUUAGUUAAUCUCUUCUUUUCCCCAGAUAAUAUGUCUUUACCUCAACGUGGACAACCAGGAAAACAGGACAACCGACUUUAUCAAGAUUUGGACUUGGGCUUUGACAAAAAGAGGUGAGCUUUUUCCGACCUUUCCAGCAGAAUAAAAGUGUCUCAUCAGGUGCAUCGUGAAUACCUAGUUGGAAACCUGCUUAAAGUUAGUAGCUUUAGUAGUUUUUUAAGAGUGAGAGAAGUACUUUUAUAUUUUUCAGAGUAAAUGUUAUUUUAAAAAUAAAUUAUGUUUUAUUCUAUAUAUUCUAAAUAGUCUGACACAAAUGACAAACACUUUUUUUAAAAAAUGACCAAGUGCAAAGAAAGCGAUUCAUGCAAUUAUCUGAAUAGCAUUUUGACAUGCGCAACAUUGCUGGACAUAUAUUAAUAUAAUACGUAACACUAAUUUGACGUAACCGCGCACAGGACGUAUUUUACCUUUGAGAAGAAGUAAUGGCGGGCUCUGAUGAAACCCAUGUAAGUUUUCACAUUUUAGGCUGGAGUGAAAGAAACCUGUCCAAGUGCUUGGUAAAGUAUACUGAAGUGCUGCAGUUUUGGAAGUUUGUAUUUGGACCUGGGUUGACUUGGUGAAUUGUCUGAAUCACUCUAGUGUGCUUGUUCCCAGUCGUGACUGCGUGACUUUGAGUCCAUGCGCCAUUAUGGCAAAACGCGGUCCUACAGACUCCGACUGUAGCUGGAACUACCACAGUGGCACGUCUGAGGACUUUGGCAGGAGCGUAUAUGUCUGUCUGUCUCAGCAAUAGCAUCACAAGAUACAGACACAAAAUUUUACAGGUGCAGUUAGGUUGAGAUCAAAGUGUGGAGAUUUGUGCAGUCUCACCCAUGAGUACCGAACGUUCGUGUAAUAACGUAGUAAUGACAGCUGAGUAUUGUUGUUGAGUAUUGUUAGCAUGUAGUAGAGAAAUUUAAGCUCACUGCAGUUAAAGUGGUACAGUUUAGUAUUUGUAACAGGGUCAAUAAAUGCUACACUUGAUUUUCAUAAAACAUUUUUGAUUACAUUGCAGAUUUCUAUUCAGUGUGUGGACAAUCCUGUUGGAUGUCCUGGUGUAAUCGUCUAUGACGAUGAAACAUUUCCCAUUUCUUUCCAACAGGAUACCACACAGGGGGCUGCCUGCCGCGAUGGAGAAGGCCCUCACAGUUCUAUGAGAGUUUCCCAAUGGCCCAGUAAUGAAGCUAAAGAGGACAUUACUCUGUCGAGCGAUUCUCCAGAGACCAAGAGGGAUUCAAACUGCUGGUAAAUAAAAUUAAAUCUAAACUUUGAUUUUGUUGCUCACCUUGGUGAAAACGGAUUACUCACUUAUAAACUUUUUUAGAAGAAAUAUAAAUGAAGCUCCUCUAGUUUUCUUCUUUUAGUGUUGUGAUAGCAUGAUAUUUGCUGUAAAACACUGAUUGUAAAUGAACCAUGAACCAUGUAAACCCUAUAAAUGAAAGAUUUGUUGAAGUGUUAUAAUCUGGUAGUUGACAGUAAUUAUUUGUGCUGAAUGAUUGAGCUGAUUUAUAUUCUCUGUGCUCAACGUCAAGAUGAUUUCCAAGGGAGGCUAAAGCUGAUAAACACUUCCACUAAUACUUCUUGGCUACACACCUUACGUUCGCCUUUCGCUCACUACAAACAUUUGAAUCAUCUUUUUGUCCCCUUCAGCUAUUACGUGCUUUAACUUCAUGUUUUGUUUGAUCUCUACUACUUGCAGAUUUUUCAAAUUUUCCUCCUUUUUCUAAUGUUUUGACGUUCGGCUUGUGCUUUCUUAAGCUGCAGUUUGCAGUAAUGUGGUGGCACCUGACUCAACCACUGAGGAAGACGUCCCCUCGGAGGGAAGACCAGCAGGAAUGAGAGAACCCACACUCUGGCUACGUAUUGCAGUACUAUCACAGACUGCUGAUUAAUCAUUAAUAACCACUGUCAAUACAAUAAUAGGAAUGGUUGUGUAAUACAUGUGGAUUUGCAACAGUUACACCUUUUAAAAACUGUAAAAUAUGAAUAGAUUUACAGACUUUACCAUUAUGAUCUUCUCUUGCACAAAGACGUAAAAUGCUUAAGAGACUCUGUGCCUGUGACCACGGGGUGCUGUACAUUUUAGCGCUCUUGCAAUGUCCAUUGUGGUAUUAGUUAGUAGUUUCAGUUGUUUAGUUUUAAAACACCACUCAGAUAGAUGGUUUAGACUUACUGUAAUUUUGUUAUGCGUGGUUCACCAUUUUGGCAGUUUGUUAUCAUUAAAAGCAAGAACCAUGAAAGUCAUGUCGGCCUUGUUUUUACUGUGCGUAUAAUUUAUAAAGUAAAUCUUUUUUGUGACUUUGUCCUGAAAUAAAAGGGAAAUGACACUUUGUAAAUAUAGGAAUAUUAUAUUAUGUAAAAUGAAGCAAAUGUAAGUUUGCCAAGAGAGAUUUUAUCCAGAGGGAUUUUCUGCCGCAGAUUAAAUUAAACAGGUUGUUUAAUUCAGCAUUAAUGCCACUGGGUGAAUUAAGUGGGCAGACGCCUUCCUUUAGUAUUCCAGUUGUUUUAAAUACUUGCCUAACAAUCUUUCCCUUGAUACAUUAAACACAACUAUAAUGAAGUCUUAAAAGACUCGGAGAAUUAAAGAGAUGGGGUACAUUCCUCAUCUACUCCCUUUCAGUCCAGACCUCCAGUUAUUCAGACUAAUCUACUGUUUUGUGUAUAUUUUAUCAGUUCAAUGAUACCUCUAGCUCCACCAGGUGGCCACUGGAAGAAUUUGUUAUCAGCACUUUUAUAUGGAAAAAGGAAAAAAUCCAUAAUCAAAGCUUCUACCUCGCAAAGACAUGACACUCUGUUUUGCUCUGCGCUCACUUCCUACCUGGUUGAAUCCAGAACCUCGUGCGUCAUGGCGCCCCAUGGAAGAACAAUUAAAUGUUUAUCUAAAAACACAGAUCAUUAGA